ACACAUGCAGUCGAGCGGUAACAGGAAGAAGCUUGCUUUCUUUGCUGACGAGCGGCGGACGGGUGAGUAAUGCCUGGGAAAUUGCCCUGAUGUGGGGGAUAACCAUUGGAAACGAUGGCUAAUACCGCAUGAUGCCCUUGUUUAUAAUGAACAGGGACCAAAGAGGGGGACCUUCGGGCCUCUCGCGUCAGGAUAUGCCCAGGUGGGAUUAGCUAGUUGGUGAGGUAAUGGCUCACCAAGGCGACGAUCCCUAGCUGGUCUGAGAGGAUGAUCAGCCACACUGGAACUGAGACACGGUCCAGACUCCUACGGGAGGCAGCAGUGGGGAAUAUUGCACAAUGGGCGCAAGCCUGAUGCAGCCAUGCCGCGUGUAUGAAGAAGGCCUUCGGGUUGUAAAGUACUUUCAGUCGUGAGGAAGGGGGUAUCGUUAAUAGCGGUAUUCUUUGACGUUAGCGACAGAAGAAGCACCGGCUAACUCCGUGCCUGCAGCCGCGGUAAUACGGAGGGUGCGAGCGUUAAUCGGAAUUACUGGGCGUAAAGCGCAUGCAGGUGGUUUGUUAAGUCAGAUGUGAAAGCCCGGGGCUCAACCUCGGAGUUGCAUUUGAAACUGGCAGGCUAGAGUACUGUAGAGGGGGGUAGAAUUUCAUGUGUAGCGGUGAAAUGC
rnacentral:rRNA from 1 species